GCAGUCGAGCGAGAAAGUUUCUUCGGAAGCGAGUAAAGCGGCGGACGGGUGAGUAACGCGUAGGAAUCUACCAUUCAGUGGGGGAUAGCUCGGGGAAACCCGAAUUAAUACCGCAUAUACCCUAAGGGGGAAAGAGGGCCUAUCCUUGGAAGCUCUUGCUGUUUGAUGAGCCUGCGUGAGAUUAGUUUGUUGGUGAGGUAAUGGCUCACCAAGACUACGAUCUCUAGCUGGUCUGAGAGGACGAUCAGCCACACUGGGACUGAGACACGGCCCAGACUCCUACGGGAGGCAGCAGUGGGGAAUAUUGGACAAUGGGGGCAACCCUGAUCCAGGCAUGCCGCGUGUGUGAAGAAGGCCUUCGGGUUGUAAAGCACUUUAGGUAAGGAAGAAAAGUUAUUGGCUAAUACCUAAUGACCGUGACAUUACUUACAGAAUAAGGACCGGCUAACUCCGUGCCAGCAGCCGCGGUAAUACGGAGGGUCCAAGCGUUAAUCGGAAUUACUGGGCGUAAAGCGCGCGUAGGCGGUUUGACAAGUUGGGUGUGAAAUCCCCGGGCUUAACCUGGGAACUGCAUUCAAAACUUUUAAACUGGAGUACGGGAGAGGAGAGUAGAAUUCAUGGUGUAGCGGUGAAAUGCGUAGAUAUCAUGAGGAAUACCAAUGGCGAAGGCAACUCUCUGGACCGUAACUGACGCUGAGGUGCGAAAGCGUGGGUAGCAAACAGGAUUAGAUACCCUGGUAGUCCACGCCGUAAACGAUGACAACUAGCCGUUGGACUUUCGGGUUCAGUGGCACAGCUAACGCAU
rnacentral:rRNA from 1 species